UCCCUCCCUCCCCGCACACAGACGAUCUCUGCGGGGAGCCGCUGCGCCGACACGUCGCUCGGGGAACUCUGCCCGGAAACACCGCAAGCUAAUCGGAGCCGGCGACCGAGGGGGACGGACGGGUCUCGUAGGCUACGCGGGGGUCGAUUAGGCGCGACUUGCCCCGUCGAUGAUGGGAGGAGCGCAGAGCCGUGAGAGGAAGGCUGAGGCGAGAUCCGGCGGGGCCGACAGACGCCAAGAGCCUGCCGGCGCUGACCGUUCUGGGUCCGCCGCCUCCGAAGACCCCCCCGGAGAGCUGCCCCAGUGCAGGAUGGGAAACAGGCGGGUAGACAGCAUGUGUUUCAUGAUCGCGUGCACCAACUGGUACUAAACUGGUCCUGGUGCUACGGCUUAAUAGUGGAUCCGAGGAUGUUAAUGUGAGGACGUCUGAGGGGCGAAGGUGGACGUUGUCCUGGGACCUCCGGGCCAGACGCCGCGUCGAUGC